UUUUAAAACUAUUUCCUUGUCCCUCAAACGUAGCACCAUCUGUCAUAGGUCAUCCCUGACAUUGUAUAAACUCCCCAAGAUCUAUUGAAUAGUCUUGUAACCGGGCCAAUUUAACUAUUCUUACAACUUCAUGACGAGCAGUUACUGUAACUCAUUGCAGUUCCAUUAACAAUUCAAAUAUUCUCAGUACGUUCAGUCCAAAUAUGAGCAUAUUUCAUGAUUUUGGAAGCAUUCAGGCAUGUCAAGUUUGCUCAGAAUGUCAUAACAAAUAACAAACAAUAAAGUAAAUUUGUAAUACA